rnacentral:rRNA from 1 species
UACGAAGGGGGCUAGCGUUGCUCGGAAUCACUGGGCGUAAAGGGUGCGUAGGCGGGUCUUUAAGUCAGGGGUGAAAUCCUGGAGCUCAACUCCAGAACUGCCUUUGAUACUGAGGAUCUUGAGUUCGGGAGAGGUGAGUGGAACUGCGAGUGUAGAGGUGAAAUUCGUAGACAUUCGCAAGAACACCAGUGGCGAAGGCGGCUCACUGGCCCGAUACUGACGCUGAGGCACGAAAGCGUGGGGAUCAAACAGG